ACUCCUACGGGAGGCAGCAGUGGGGAAUAUUGCACAAUGGGGGAAACCCUGAUGCAGCGACGCCGCGUGAAGGAAGAAGUAUCUCGGUAUGUAAACUUCUAUCAGCAGGGAAGAUAGUGACGGUACCUGACUAAGAAGCCCCGGCUAACUACGUGCCAGCAGCCGCGGUAAU
rnacentral:rRNA from 1 species